UGUGUGAGUGUGUGUGAGUGUGUGUGAGUGUGUGUGAAUGUGUGUGAGAGUGUGUGUGAGAGUGUGUGUGAGAGUGUGUGUGAGAGUGUGUGUGAGUUGGUGAGUGUGAGUGUGUGUGAGUGUGUGUGAGUGUGUGUGAGAGUGUGUGUGAGUGUGUGUGAGUGUGUGUGUGUGUGUGUGAGUGUGUGAGAGUGUGUGUGAGAGUGUGAGUGUGUGAGAGUGUGUGAGUGUGUGUGAGAGUGUGUGUGAGUGUGUGUGAGUGUGUGUAGAUGUGAGUGUGUGUGAGUGUGUGUGAGUGUGUGUGUGAGUGUGUGUGAGUGUGUGUGAGUGUGUGUGAGAGUGUGAAUGAGUGUGUUUAGUUAUGAGUUGGGUUUCAACAUUCACUCUUCUGUAAUAUCUACUGUGCA
ensembl:lncRNA